UGUUUUUCUGGAAGCUGCCUAGAAAAAGGGU
rnacentral:piRNA from 1 species